rnacentral:rRNA from 1 species
UACGUAGGGUGCGAGCGUUGUCCGGAAUCAUUGGGCGUAAAGAGCGCGUAGGCGGCCAGAUAAGUCCGGUGUGAAAGUCACAGGCUCAACCUGUGAAUGCCGCUGGAAACUGUCUGGCUAGAGUCCGGAAGGGGCGAGUGGAAUUCCUGGUGUAGCGGUGAAAUGCGCAGAUAUCAGGAGGAACACCAAUGGCGAAGGCAGCUCGCUGGAACGGUACUGACGCUGUGGCGCGAAAGCGUGGGGAGCAAACAGG